rnacentral:pre_miRNA from 13 species
CCCAUCACGUCUCUUUAUCACUUUUCCAGCCCAGCUUUCUGGUUCUAGCCGUUGGACGGAGAAUUGAUAAGGGUACGGGGUCGG